AGCAGCCGCGGUAAUUCCAGCUCCAAUAGCGUAUAUUAAAGUUGUUGCAGUUAAAAAGCUCGUAGUUGAAUUUCGGGGUUAGUAGGUUGGUCAUGCCUCUGGUAUGUACUGAUCUCACUGAUUCCUCCUUCCUUAUGAACCGUAAUGCCAUUAAUUUGGUGUUGCGGGGAAUUUGGACUGUUACUUUGAAAAAAUUGAGUGUUUAAAGCAAGCUAACGCUUGAAUACAUUAGCAUGGAAUAAUGAAAUAGGACGUUCGAUCUUAUUUUGUUGGUUUCUAGGAUUUGACGUAAUGAUUAAUAGGGAUAGUUGGGGGCAUUAGUAUUCAAUUGUCAGAGGUGAAAUUCUUGGAUUUAUUGAAGACUAACUACUGCGAAAGCAUUUGCCAAGGAUGUUUUCAUUAAUCAAGAACGAAAGUUAGGGGAUCGAAGACGAUCAGAUACCGUCGUAGUCUUAACCAUAAACUAUGCCGACUAGGGAUCGGAUGAUGUAAUUUUUAAUGACUCAUUCGGCGCCUUACG
rnacentral:rRNA from 1 species